rnacentral:rRNA from 1 species
UACGGAGGGAGCUAGCGUUGUUCGGAAUUACUGGGCGUAAAGCGCACGUAGGCGGCGAUUUAAGUCAGGGGUGAAAGCCCGGUGCUCAACACCGGAACUGCCUUUGAGACUGGAUUGCUUGAAUCACGGAGAGGUGGGUGGAAUUCCGAGUGUAGAGGUGAAAUUCGUAGAUAUUCGGAAGAACACCAGUGGCGAAGGCGGCCCACUGGACGUGUAUUGACGCUGAGGUGGCGAAAGCGUGGGGAGCAAACAGGG